UACGGAGGGGGCUAGCGUUAUUCGGAAUUAUUGGGCGUAAAGCGCGUGUAGGCGGCUUUGCAAGUCGGGUGUGAAAGCCCUCAGCUCAACUGAGGAAGUGCGCCCGAAACUGCAGAGCUUGAGUACCGGAGAGGAUGGCGGAAUUCCCCAAGUAGAGGUGAAAUUCGUAGAUAUGGGGAGGAACACCGGUGGCGAAGGCGGCCAUCUGGACGGAUACUGACGCUGAGACGCGAAAGCGUGGGGAGCAAACAGGG
rnacentral:rRNA from 1 species